UUAAAUGUUUCUAAUGCCAAAAUAAAAUAUUUGUUCUAAAUCAAAUUAUUUUAUUUGACAAAUUAAAUUUUCUUCAAAAACUUUUUAAAAGAAAACUUGCACAUGUAUAGCAUGCGCAUUUUCUGCAUUGGAUUAAACGAUACUCUAUGGAUUUCUGAUCAUCAUUGAUUUGGAAUCAAGACUGAGCUUUGAAAUAAAAGGUACAACAUAGUGAAAGUCCUGCAAUACCGUAAGAGUACGAAAAAUACAUCCAUCUCAAUAUUUAUCCGCAAGAUUCCGUCUACGCAUGAAGAAAACAUUCAUUCCGGUAUUUAAGAUUCCGUUUAGGCAUGAGGUUCGACUUCAAAUAAGGGAUCGUGUAAUAUAUUUAAGUAUAAAUAAAAUAAUAUUUCGCAAAAAAUGUAAUAAAAGAUUAUAAAAUAAAU